rnacentral:rRNA from 1 species
AGUGACAAGAAAUAACAAUACAGGACUUUUUGGUUUUGUAAUUGGAAUGAGUUAAGUAUAAACCCCUUUACAAGUAUCAAUUGGAGGGCAAGUCUGGUGCCAGCAGCCGCGGUAAUUCCAGCUCCAAUAGCGUAUAUUAAAGUUGUUGCAGUUAAAAAGCUCGUAGUUGGAUUUCUGUUAAUAAUUUAUAUAAAAUAUUUUGAUGAAUAUUUAUAUAAUAUUAACAUAAUUCAUAUUACUAUAUAUUUUAGUAUAUGAAAUUUUACUUUGAGAAAAUUAGAGUGCUUAAAGCAGG